GACGAACGCUGGCGGCGCGCCUAACACAUGCAAGUCGAACGAGCGAGCGAGAGCUUGCUUUCUUGAGCGAGUGGCGCACGGGUGAGUAACGCGUGAGGAACCUGCCUCUAAGAGGGGGACAACAGUUGGAAACGACUGCUAAUACCGCAUAAGCUCACUGUGCCGCCUUGCUCAGAGGGAAAAGGAGCAAUACGCUUUGAGAUGGCCUCGCGUCCGAUUAGCUAGUUGGUGAGGUUACGGCACACCAAUGCGACGAUCGGUAGCCGGACUGAGAGGUUGAGUGGACACACUUGGACUGAGACACGGCACAGACUCCUACGGGAGGCAGCAGUGGGGAAUAGUGCACAAUGGGGGAAACCCUGAUGCAGCGACGCCGCGUGGAGGAUGAAGGUAGUCGGAUUGUAAAGUCCUGUUGUUGGGGAAGAUAAUGACGGUACCCAACAAGGAAGUGACGGCUAACUACGUG
rnacentral:rRNA from 1 species